GACGAACGCUGGCGGCGUGCUUAACACAUGCAAGUCGAAUGGAAAGGCCCUGCUUUUGUGGGGUGCUCGAGUGGCGAACGGGUGAGUAACACGUGAGUAACCUGCCCUUGACUUUGGGAUAACUUCAGGAAACUGGGGCUAAUACCGGAUAGGAGCUCCUGCUGCAUGGUGGGGGUUGGAAAGUUUCGGCGGUUGGGGAUGGACUCGCGGCUUAUCAGCUUGUUGGUGGGGUAGUGGCUUACCAAGGCUUUGACGGGUAGCCGGCCUGAGAGGGUGACCGGCCACAUUGGGACUGAGAUACGGCCCAGACUCCUACGGGAGGCAGCAGUGGGGAAUAUUGCACAAUGGGCGGAAGCCUGAUGCAGCAACGCCGCGUGCGGGAUGACGGCCUUCGGGUUGUAAACCGCCUUCGCCUGUGACGAAGCGUGAGUGACGGUAAUGGGUAAAGAAGCACCGGCUAACUACGUG
rnacentral:rRNA from 1 species